rnacentral:rRNA from 1 species
UACGGAGGGUGCAAGCGUUGUUCGGAAUCAUUGGGCGUAAAGGGCGCGUAGGCGGUCCGGUAAGUCGGGUGUGAAAGCCCCGGGCUCAACCCGGGAAGUGCAUUCGAAACUGCCGGACUUGAGUACGGGAGGGGGAAGUGGAAUUCCUGGUGUAGGGGUGAAAUCCGUAGAUAUCAGGAGGAACACCGGUGGCGAAGGCGACUUCCUGGACCGAUACUGACGCUGAGGCGCGAAAGCGUGGGGAGCAAACAGG